rnacentral:rRNA from 1 species
GUGAGUAGUUCAGAGUUUGAUCCUGGCUCAGGAUGAACGCUAGCUACAGGCCUAACACAUGCAAGUCGAGGGGCAGCAUGAACUUAGCUUGCUAAGUUUGAUGGCGACCGGCGCACGGGUGCGUAACGCGUAUCCAACCUACCCGUCACUCAGGGACAGCCCAUCGAAAGAUGGAUUAAUACCUGAUGUUCUGUUAUGAUCGCAUGUUUAUGACAGUAAAGAUUUAUUGGUGACGGAUGGGGAUGCGACCGAUUAGCUAGUUGGCGGGGUAACGGCCCACCAAGGCGACGAUCGGUAGGGGUUCUGAGAGGAAGGUCCCCCACACUGGAACUGAGACACGGUCCAG